rnacentral:rRNA from 1 species
AUUGAACGCUGGCGGCAUGCCUUACACAUGCAAGUCGAACGGUAACAGGUCUUCGGAUGCUGACGAGUGGCGAACGGGUGAGUAAUGCAUCGGAACGUGCCCAGUAGUGGGGGAUAGCCCGGCGAAAGCCGGAUUAAUACCGCAUACGACCUGAGGGUGAAAGGGGGGGAUCGCAAGACCUCUCGCUAUUGGAGCGGCCGAUGUCAGAUUAGCUAGUUGGUGGGGUAAAGGCCUACCAAGGCAACGAUCUGUAGUUGGUCUGAGAGGACGACCAGCCACACUGGGAGUGAGACACGGCCACGACUCCUACGGGAGGCAGCAGUGGGGAAUUUUGGACAAUGGGCGCAAGCCUGAUCCAGCAAUGCCGCGUGCAGGAAGAAGGCCUUCGGGUUGUAAACUGCUUUUGUCAGGGAAGAAAUCUUCUGGGUUAAUACCUCGGGAGGAUGACGGUACCUGAAGAAUAAGCACCGGCUAACUACGUGCCAGCAGCCGCCGUAAAAC